GACAGAGGGUGCAAACGUUGUUCGGAAUUACUGGGCGUAAAGCGCGUGUAGGCGGCUUGGCAAGUCGGGUGUGAAAGCCUGGGCUCAACCGUGGAACUGCUGGGCAUACUGCGGGUCUGGGCCAACUAGGGGCAGCCGGAACAAGCGGUGGAGCGGUGAAAUGCGUAGAUAUCGCUUGGAACGCCAAAGGUGAAAACAGGUUGCUGGGGUUGUGCCGACGCUGAGACACGAAAGCCAGGGG
rnacentral:rRNA from 1 species